rnacentral:tRNA from 1 species
GCCGGGGUGGCUUAGCCUGGUUAUAGCGCUCGGCUCAUAACCGAGAGGUCGCGGGUUCAGAUCCCGCCCCCGGCA